GGGCUUGUGGCGCAACGGUAGCGCGUCUGACUCCAGAUCAGAAGGUUGUGUGUUCAAGUCAUGUCAGGCUCA